UUUUUUAAGUGCAUAAAAAGAAUAAAUUGAGUUUACAGAGAUUUAACUAGUUGAAUUAUACACAUACAUACAUGCGUAUGUAUGUAUGCAUUUAUCUUUGAAACGUUUACACCACGUUUUCAAUUCUAAUAAGAAGAAAAAAGAUGGCGGCGAAGAAGAGCAAAAAAAGAAGGCAGGAACAAAGUCGCACAUGUUUAUGACGUGCUUAUGAAAGCGAAUUAUGAAAAAGGGAGGAUGAGAGGAUUUCUCCUGGGAACAGCAAAUACUCGCAUGGAUUAUAUGUAUUCAGAUUCACAGCUGGAACCCGAAUACCUGGACGCAGGUACGACAGGUUGAAAAUCGAACGAAAACACAACAUCGGCGGAAAA